rnacentral:misc_RNA from 1 species
GAUGAAGAACGUAGCGAAAUGCGAUACGUAAUGUGAAUUGCAGAAUUCAGUGAAUCAUCGAAUCUUUGAACGCACAUUGCGCCCCCUGGUAUUCCGGGGGGCAUGCCUGUCCGAGCGUCAUUGCUGCCCUCAAGCACGGCUUGUGUGUUGGGCCCCGUCCUCCGAUCCCGGGGGACGGGCCCGAAAGGCAGCGGCGGCACCGCGUCCGGUCCUCGAGCGUAUGGGGCUUUGUCACCCGCUCUGUAGGCCCGGCCGGCGCUUGCCGAUCAACCCAAAUUUUUUAUCCAGGUUGACCUCGGAUCAGGUAGGGAUACCCGCUGAACUUAAGCAUAUCAAUAAGCGGAGGA